GGGGUAACGGCCCACCAAGACAACGAUGGAUAGGGGUUCUGAGAGGAAGGUCCCCCACAUUGGAACUGAGACACGGUCCAAACUCCUACGGGAGGCAGCAGUGAGGAAUAUUGGUCAAUGGGCGAGAGCCUGAACCAGCCAAGUAGCGUGAAGGAUGAAGGCUCUAUGGGUCGUAAACUUCUUUUAUAUGGGAAUAAAGUUUUCCACGUGUGGAAUUUUGUAUGUACCAUAUGAAUAAGGAUCGGCUAACUCCGUGCCAGCAGCCGCGGUAAUACGGAGGAUCCGAGCGUUAUCCGGAUUUAUUGGGUUUAAAGGGAGCGUAGGUGGAUUGUUAAGUCAGUUGUGAAAGUUUGCGGCUCAACCGUAAAAUUGCAGUUGAAACUGGCAGUCUUGAGUACAGUAGAGGUGGGCGGAAUUCGUGGUGUAGCGGUGAAAUGCUUAGAUAUCACGAAGAACUCCGAUUGCGAAGGCAGCUCACUAGACUGUUACUGACACUGAUGCUCGAAAGUGUGGGUAUCAAACAGGAUUAGAUACCCUGGUAGUCCACACAGUAAACGAUGAAUACUCGCUGUUUGCGAUAUACAGUAAGCGGCCAAGCGAAAGCAUUAAGUAUUCCACCUGGGG
rnacentral:rRNA from 1 species